rnacentral:lncRNA from 1 species
UUUGAAGAUAAUGUUAUCGAAAAAAAUAAAAUUUAUAACAAUGAGGAAAACAAACUCACCAAUUCAAAUUUAUACUCAUGUAUGAGAAUUAAUUCUUUGCAUUCCAAUAAAAAAUAGUUAUGAGAUAAUCAAAUAAACAAUGACAACCUUAUGUCCAACAUAGAACAGAAGAACAAAAAGUAAAAUUGAAAAACAAAAAAAAUCUCUAUUAAAAGUGAGUAGCAAUCCAAACUAACAUGGAUAUCAUACUUUUACAUAUGUUUGUUGAAUUAUCCAAUCAUGCCAUCUUAAAGUAGUGGAGGCGGAUCACGACCAAUAUUCUCAAAGAUCAAAUCACACAUGAAUUCUUCAUCAAUCAAGCUCAUAAAUACUUUAGCCAGACUCACGUCCGAUCGAAAUACUUUCAUGACUUGCAUUAUGUCACGCUUCUCAAUGUUCAUGCUUUGUAAUUUUUGUAGAACCAAUUGUCAAUUGAUGUGAUUUAGCGUAUCUAACAUUACUUGAAUCUCCAUAGCAUUAGCAAUUUUUUUUGACGAUUCAGCAAUGCUAGACAGGGCUAUGAGACUCUCAUCACUAGGUUGGCUACGUCGUUGUCGUCGAAUUUUGUUAGUUCCUCCGUCAACGUUAUGCUUAGGAGCUUGGACUGGGCUUGGAUCUCUAUCCUCGUUUUGAUCGUCAACUUCAUUCAAAUUNNNNN